AACUUUAGAAAUACCAAACCUUAAUGAUUGAACUCAUAAAAUUGAGCAAGAAGAUUCUAACUCAAUAAGGCAACACACCCAUGAAUUUUACAUAAACCUGUCAAGCCCCUUAAAUAUCAAAUCCUAGCACACUGGUCAAACACAGAGGCGUAUCUAGGAUUUGAAAUUUACGACUUCUGAAUUUACAAUAACUGGAUUCUAAAUUGAAAAUAUGUACAUAUUCGGUGAAUCUUAUCGAACAAAUAUACAAGAUUUAGGACAAACAUACGACUUGGUUCAUCCAAACCAGUAAGUCACCUCCUAGCUCCGCCCCUGGUCAAGCACACUGUUAAAGCAAAUACGAUACUUCUUUACUUCUCUCUCAGCUAAGACAUGAUUUUGUAACCUUGUUCACCGAGAUGGCGAAGUUGGUCACAAGCAGCCAAUAGGAGCAAAUCGUUUCCCACAUUUGAGUCUGCUACAUGGAGAAAUUAAUCACCCUCUGGCUUGUUCAAAGUGCAGCGUAGUUUCUUUAAUUUCUCCACGAUCGUAGCCAUGGUGUCCCUGGAAGAUGGCGGUGACUUUAAGCAUUUCAUUGCUAAUGUUAGAAUCACCUCUGCGUCAUCCCAGUUAUAAUUCAGAUUUUGAUCGACGAGUUCCAUUAAAGUUCCAUUCUCAUUCUUUAUUUGUGCCUAUAGUAGUUGAUAAAAUUAACCAAUGACUUUGUCGAGUUUCCUAAAUUAAUGUACACAACUAUUGCAGCUAGUUGAGUUUUACUCACCUCAUCCACGAGGUAUCCAGUUUGAGCACCUACCCUCAGGGUCUUUAUUUUCCUUCCGCUGAAAAGUACAAGCAUGACAACUCCAAAGCUAUACACAUCUGCGCUAGCUUCUAAGGGGCGAUCAUUAACUUCUGGCGCUGUGUAUGACCUGCAAAAAUCUUCCAUUAGUGAGAAAUGCAAUUGUGGAAGCCAAUGUAUAAGGUAUUACUCCCACCGUUUAAUUUGUUUGUCUGGGCUUGUGGUCUUAAACAUGCCAUGCGGAAAGUUAGAUUUAAAGAGUUGUCAAAAAACGAGAGACAUUCUUUUGAAACGGACUAAAAAGAAAAGUAAGACAAACAAAUUGAAACAGCGGGCCGGGAGUACUAAUUUGUCUCUAAAACAUAAUUUGUUUGGGUGUUUACUUACAUUGUUCCUUCUGACUUUUGCUUGUGAUAAAGCUUUGCGAAUCCAAAAUCGUAUAUCCUUGGAUUUAAAUCGUUGUCAAGAAAAAUGUUUUCUGGGUUAAUAUCUCCAUGUAUAAUUUCCUGUUUGGACACCUUGUGAAGAAAAGAUAAACCUUCUGCUAGACCAAGACAUAUUUUACAUCUCGUUUGCCAAUCUAGUCUUUUUCUAAGUUCUUCGUCUGAACCUGUAAGUAAACAAAGCUCAAGUUUUAUUUGUACAACUACGGAGGCUUAACAAAGAGAUUUUUCAUAAACGGAAGACGUUACCAAAUAAUGCAUCUUCAAGAGACGUAGUUCCAAUGAACUCAUAGAUAAGCAGAAGUUGGUUCUUUCCUGCACAGCAUCCCAUUAGAGUUACAAGAUUUGGACGUUUUAUGCCAGCAAUUGCACGCCUUUUUUCUGCAAAUUCGUGCAUUCCUUCUUUUGGUGCCGAAAGUUUUUUAACUGCGACGACAAGCCCAUUCAAAAGAGUGCCCUGGAUGUUGGUUAAGUGUUUCAGAUGAUGAACUUAUGAAUCAGAAAAACAAACGAAUUACUCCCUCCGUUUCAAUUUGUUAGUUUAAUUUUCCUUUUCUUAGUCCACUUAAAAAAAGAACUCUUUGAUUCUAACUUUCCACAUGGCGUGUUUAAGACCACCAGAUUGAAGGACAUUUUGGUAUAUUCAAUAUAUCUUUAGUGUAAAACCACAAUUACAAAAAUCUUCUUUAUUUUCUUAAACUCCAUAUCAAGUCAAAACCAAACAAACAAAUUGAAACGGCGUGAGUAUAUAUCUAGGUUAGAGGUCAUCCAGCUAGCAAAGGGAGAAAACACAAUACUAGUACUGCAACUUUUGUCAUGAGAUAAUAUCUUUUCCGAAAGAAAAUGAAGAUAUGAAGGCGGAAAAAUGCCCUUGAGUGAUAAAACAAAAUUCUUUUAACUGACGAAAACUGUAAAAGAUAAAUCACAAAGAACACAAAAUUCAUAACCUAUAAUUAGUUAAAAUUCUAACCUACCUUAUAAAUUGUCCCAAAACCUCCCUCGCCAAGCCGGUUCUCGAUAUCAAAAUUCUUUGUGGAAGCUUUAAUUUCCCGGUAGUAGUAAAGUCCUCCAGGGUACAAUUCAACAAGUUCUAGCUCCAUAUCAACACAUUAGAAAAGAAACAUCAACAGAGUGGAAAAGAGAGACAGUAAAGAAGCUUACUACAAGUUACAAGACGUAUGAUUCAAAUGAUGGUAAUUUAAUCCGAUAACUAUAAGAAAUGUAUCUUGGGCUUAACCCGAAAAAAAUCUAGCUAAAAUCAUACCGACUUAACUCAAUAGCUAACCUCAUUUGAGGAGACCGAUGCCGCAUUCCACAAGUCCACGGAACCACAACCAAUGUUGGGAAACAUAACAUCCCUCCAGCCUACGCCCAAGCUUACCAACUGGAGCGUAGACAACAAAAUAUGGGGGUCCAACAUUGAGUAUUUGACAUUUUUAAUUUAGUAAAAAAUCUCAUUAGUUCCUCACUAACUAUCUUUUUCAUGCCAAACAUAUUUAGCCAGCAGAUGGAAAAAAUUGAAACUUGAAAAAAAAAAGAGUUUUUGACGUUGUGUUGGAAAAUAAUUUUUCCAAGCGGAGGUGAAAUUUCACCCCAAAAUUGAUCUGAGCAAGUUUUUGAAACUUGAAAAUGGACCAAAUUUAAAUUCACGAACAACAUUUUCAAAUUAUUAUUUUUUUUUUUAAAAAAAAAAUGUACUCCCAAAAACUAUGGCCAAACAGGAGCUUAAUACCUUGAAAUUCAGAUGUUUCCAUCAAAGAAAAUAUUUUCCACCAAAGGCCAAAAAAACAUAUUAAAAACUUUUAAUUUACCAAAGAUCACCAAAAUAUUAUCCUCAUCAUUUUUCCAAUUCCAUAAGGUCGCACAACCACUUUACAUAACUAGCAAGCAGGCAGAUUCGAGAUUUAAAUUUUGCAGUAACGACUUCAAGAGCUAGUAACUGGACUCUAAAUUUAAAAUUUGUACAUAUUCAGUGAAUCUCAUAACACAAAUACAAGAUUAAGGACAAAAAUACUACUUAAAGGGCAGCCCAGUGCAUUAAAGCUACCGCUAUUCGCGGUGUCCGGGGAAGGGCCCCACCACAAGGGUAUAUCGUACGCAACCUUACCUUGCAUUUCUGCAAGAGGCUGUUUCCAAGGCUUGAACCCAUGCCCUCCUGGUCACAUGACAGCAACUUUACCAGUUACUCCAAGGCUCCGUGCUAGAUCAAGCACAUUGUUAAAUGAAAAUAUGAUAAUCCAAUACUACAGUAUGGUACAUGGAGAACUCACCCGCAUUGGUCAAAAUGGUCUGGAUUGAGUGUCCCUUCUUUAAUUUCUUCACGAUUGCAGACAUGGUUGGUCUGUAUGGCGGUGAAUCUAUGCAAUGCAUUACUAAUCGUAGAAUCAUCUCCGCUUCUUCCCAGUCAUAACUCAGCUUAGGAUCGACUAGUUCCAUUAGAGUUCCCCUCCGAUCCAUUUUUUCGGCCUACAGUAGUCGAUAAGAUUAACCAAUAACUUUGUCUAGUUUCCUCAAUUGAUGUACAUAACUGUUGCAGGUAGUUGAGUUUUACUCACCUCAUCCACGAGGUAUAUAGUUUCACCACCUGCCCUCGGGGUCUUGAUUUUCCUUCCACUGAAAAGUAUAAGCAUGACAACUCCAAAGCUAUACACAUCCGUUCUAGCUUCUAAGGGGCGAAAUGUAACUUCUGGCGCUGUGUAUAACCUGCUAAAGGCUUCCAAUAGUGAGAAGUGCAACUGUGAUAGCCAAUGUAUACAAAGUUCUAACAAUUUGAAAGCAAAAUCAGUUUUACUCCCUCUGUUUCAAUUUGUCUGUCUGGUUCUGACUUGACAUGGAGUUUAAAAAAUAAUGAAGACUUUUAUAUCUUGUGGUCUUAAACAUGUCUCGUGGAAAGUUUGGAUAAAAGAGUUGUGAAGAACAGACAAGAUGCAUUCUUUUACUAAUAUGUCUCUGGAACAUAAUCUGCUGGGGCAUUUCCUUACAUUGAUCCUUCUGAUUUUUGCUUGUGAUAGAGCUUCGCAAAUCCGAAACCAUGUAUCUUCGGAUUCAGAUCAUCAUCAAGAAUAAUGUUUGCUGGUUUAAUGUCCCCGUGUAUAGUUUCCUGUUUGGAGCCCUCGUGAAGAAAAGCUAAACCUUCUGCUAGACCAAGACAUAUUCUAUAUCUUGUUGGCCAAUCGAGUCUUGCUCUAAGUUCAUCGUCUGAACCUGUACGUAAUCAAAGCUGUAAGUUCUUUACUACAAGUGUGGAGGCUUAACGAAGAAAUCAUUCAUAAAUGGAAGAUGUUACCAAAUAAGGCAUCUUCAAGAGACGUAGUUCCAAUGAACUCAUAGAUAAGCAGAAGUUGGUUCUUUCCUGCACAGCAUCCCAUUAGUGUUAAAAGAUUUGGAUGUUUUAUGCCAGCAAUUGCACGACUCUUUUCCGCAAACUCCCACAUUCCUUCUUUUGUCGCCGAAAGCUUUUUAACUGUGAUGGCAGUCCCAUUCGAAAGAGUGCCCUGAACAUUGGUUAAGUGUUUCAGAUGAUGAAAUUGUCUAUUUGAAAACCAAAAUAAGUACUCCCUCUGUUUCAAUUUGUUUGAAGACUCACGAGAAUGAAGGGCAUUUCGGUACAUUCGAUAUAUCAUUGGUUCAAGACCCCACGGGUCAAAAGUCUUUUCUAUUUUCUUAACGUUCGAGCCAAAUCAAUACCAGAAAAAACAAAUUGAAAUGGGGGGAGUAUAUAUCUAGGUCGGAGGUCACCCAGCAAGCAAAAGAAAAAAGGUUGUGCACAGAAGGGAGCGGCGUCCCGACAACACAAUACUAAUACUGCAACUAUUUUCAUGAGAGAGUAUCUUCUCCAAAAGAAAAUGAAGAAUACGAAGACAGAAAAUGAACAAAAUUUAUUUAACUGAAGAUAUCUGUAAAAGAUAUAUCGAAAAACAUCGUAACCUAUAAUGAGUUAAGAUUCUAGCUAACCUUAUAGACAGUCCCAAAACCUCCCUCGCCAAUCCGGUUCGCAACAUGAAAAUUAUUUGUGGCAGCUUUAAUUUUCCGGUAGUUGUAAAGCCCUCCAGGGUACAAUUGAACGGGUUCUAGCUCUAUAUUUACACAUUAGUAAAUAUAUAUCAGAGUAAUUUGAAACGUAAAUUAAGUAAACAAGCUUACAACAAAUAAAAAAACCUAUGAUUCAAAUGAUGGCCGGUGACUAUAACCGAUAACUACAAGAAAUGGAUCUUACGCUUAACUCAACCCUAAAAGCUAAUGACGAAUAUGGAACAAUUUAACUUUCAGCCAACCUAAACCCAAGCUUAUACACACACACACACACACACACACACACACAUAGUAGUCUAUAAUACGUGUGUUGCACGUGUAUUUAAUGUUAAAUAAGAAAGAUGCAUGUAUGCAAAGAACAAACUCAUUAUAUUCGAAUUAAUAAAUAUACGACUUUAAAAAUAUAUAUAUGUCCAGACCUCUCUUUAAUAACCUGUCAUUAUAAUGGUAUUUAUCCAAAUAGACCUAAGAAUUGUAUUGUACGUUGAAUUUUUACUUCGUUCAUGUAUACUUUUGAAGAAACGCUUAUCAACUCGUUCCUAUUGUGAAUACUUUUGAAGAAACGUUCCCUCGUUCUUUCUUUAUCUCUUGAUGUGUCUCUUUAUUGCAUUGUUAUAAGGAGAUGUCAAUGUAUUUCACAUGAAAAGAAUAAUAAUGAAUAGCUAUAAUAAUUUAUAUCAUUCAAAAUUAAAAAUUGUCACACGAAAUUAAUCACCUUUCAAAGUUCGGAUCAUCAACUGUCUGUAUAUAUUAUAAUCAUCAUCCAUCUUCAGGAUACCAACAAAAUCAAUGCACCUCAAAGUAAAUUAAAUAUUACAAAAACAUUUUCUGAAGUGAAGAAUGAUCUAAGACGAAAAGGAAAUAAUUUUGUUUUCUAUGUUCAUCGAAGAUGUUAUUGUAUUAUUGUAGAAGGAUUGUCAAUUUAUAGAAGUCCAAAAGCUUUUCAAAUUAUCUAAAUAUGGUAAAUUUAUACUCCCUCACCACCAUAAAUAACUACCAAUAUUAGAAGAGUAAGUAUUCCAACAAUAAUAAAUUACCACAAAUAGAUACUGUACAUUUUUUAUAGUUUUUUUUUUUUAGACUUAGGCUUCAUUGUCUUAUUUUUUUAAAAGAAAUUAAAAAAUCAUAUACACAUGUGAUUUCUAAAACUUAAAGAGUUUAGUAGUUUUUUUCUCUAAUUUCUCUAACCGUAAUAUUUGUAUAAUAUCAUAUAUUUUAGUGCUCUUAAUUUUUUCUUUCCAUAUAUAUUUUAGGAUUCAAUAUUACAGUUAAUAUUAUUAAAAUAAUUAACUAAUAAUUUGAGAAAAUAGUGAAAAGACAAUUUCGUCUAUUGUGGAGUGUUUUAAUGAAGGUCAAAAAGUUCAAAUCACAUAUAUAUAUAUAUAUAUAAAAUCAGUGUUACCUUCGCGACGUAAUUUGUCUAUAUUUGUUACAUUUAUAAUCGAUCUGUCCAUAUUCAGGAUUUGAAUUUUACAGUAAUGACUUCAAGCGCUAAUAACUGGACUCUAAAUUUAAAAUUUGUACAUAUUUAGUGAAUUUUACGAUACAAAUCCAAGAUUUAUGACAGACAAACUAUUGGGUUCUACUGAACUCGUAGGUUGCCUUCUAGCUCCGCCCCAGGUCAAGCACAUUGUUAAAGCAAAUAUGAUACUCCUAUAGUAGAAUAUGCUACAUGGAGAACUCACCCUCUGGCGUAGGCGCAUUGAUCAAAAGGGUUUGGAUUGAGCAUUCACCCUCUGGUCUAGCCGCAUUGAUCAAAAUGGUCUCGAUUGAGCAUUCUUUCUUUAAAAUCUUCACGAUUGCAGACAUGGUUGGUCUGAAUGACGGUGAAUCUAUGCAAUGCAUUGCUAAUCGUAGAAUCAUCUCCGCUUCUUCCCGGUCAUAACUCAGCUUGUGAUCGACUAGCUCCAUUAGAGUUCCCCUCCGAUCCAUUAUUUGUGCCUACAGUAGUCGAUAAGAUUAACCAAUAACUUUGUCUAGUUUCCUAAAUUGAUGUACAUAACUGUUGCAGGUAGUUGAGUUUUACUCACCUCAUCCACGAGGUAUAUAGUUUCACCACCUGCCCUCGGGGUCUUGAUUUUCCUUCCACUGACAAGUAUAAGCAUGACAACUCCAAAGCUAUACACAUCCGCGCUAGCUUCUACGGGGCGAUCUUUAACUUCUGGCGCCGUGUAUAACCUACUAAAGGCUUCCAAUAGUGAGAAGUGCAACUGUGAAAGCCAAUGUAUACAAAGUUCUAACAAAUUUGAAAGCAAAAUCAGUUUUACUCCCUCUGUUUCAAUUUGUCUGUCUGGUUCUGACUUGACACGGAGUUUAAGAAAGUAAUGAAGACUUUUAUAUCUUGUGAUCUUAAACAUGUCACGUGGAAAGUUAGGAAAAAAGAGUUGUGAAGAACAGGCAAGAUGCACUCUUUUACUAAUAUAAUGUGUUGGGGUAUUUCUUUACAUUGUUCGUUCUGAUUUUUGCUUGUGAUAGAGCUUUGCAAAUCCAAAAUCAUAUAGCUUCGGAUUCAGAUCAUCAUCAAGAAUAAUGUUUGCUGGUUUAAUAUCCCCGUGUAUAAUUUCCUGUUUGGAUCCCUUGUGAAGAAAACAUAAACCUUCUGCUAGACCAACACAAAUUCUAUAUCUUGUGGCCCAAUCGAGUCUUCCAUUUUUUUCAUUGUCUGAACCUGUUAUGUAACCAAAGCUCAACUUAUCAUUAGUACAACUAUGAAGGCAUAGCAAAGAAAUCAUUCAUAAACGGAAGACCUUACCAAAUAAUGCAUCUUCAAGAGAUGUAGUUCCAAUGAACUCAUAGAUAAGCAGAAGUUGGUUCUUUCCUGCACAGCAUCCCAUUAGUGUCACGAGAUUUGGAUGUUUCAUGCCAGCAAUUGCACGACUCUUUUCCGCAAACUCCCACAUUCCUUCUUUUGUUGCCGAAAGCUUUUUAACUGCGAUGGCAGUCCCAUUCGAAAGAGUGCCCUGAACAUUGGUUAAGUGUUUCAGAUGAUGAAAUUGUCUAUUUGAAAACCAAAAUAAGUACUCCCUCUGUUUCAAUUUGUUUGAAGACUCACGAGAAUGAAGGGCAUUUCGGUACAUUCGAUAUAUCAUUGGUUCAAGACCACACGUGUCAAAAGUCUUUUCUAUUUUCUUAACGUUCGUGCCAAAUCAAUACCAGAAAAAACAAAUUGAAAUGGGGGGAGUAUAUAUCUAGGUCGGAGGUCACCCAGCAAGCAAAAGAAAAAAGGUUGUGCACAGAAGGGAGCGGCGUCCCGACAACACAAUACUAAUACUGCAACUAUUUUCAUGAGAGAGUAUCUUCUCCAAAAGAAAAUGAAGAAUACGAAGAUAGAAAAUGAACAAAAUUUAUUUAACUGAAGAUAUCUGUAAAAGAUAUAUCGAAAAACAUCGUAACCUAUAAUGAGUUAAGAUUCUAGCUAACCUUAUAGACAGUCCCAAAACCUCCCUCGCCAAUCCGGUUCGCAACAUGAAAAUUAUUUGUGGCAGCUUUAAUUUUCCGGUAGUUGUAAAGCCCUCCAGGGUACAAUUGAACGGGUUCUAGCUCUAUAUUUACACAUUAGUAAAUAUAUAUCAGAGGAACUUGAAACAUAAAUUAAGUAAAGAAGCUAACAACAAAUAAAAAAACCUAUGAUUCACAUGAUGGCCGGUGAUUAUAACCGAUAACUACAAAUCCCAAUGGAAACCAAAUAAAAUAUAUAAUAAGGUAGUGUCACCUCCCCGCCAUAUUUCUUUGAAUUUCCAGGAAAAACCUAUGAACAAUAUAUAUAUAUAUAUAUAUAUAUAUAUAUAUAAAAGCAGUGUUACCUUUGCGACCUAACAUUGAUAAUCGAUUUGUGUAUAUCUGUCGGAUCAAUAAUCUAUCUGUCCAUAUAUUCGGAUUGAUAAUCGAUCUGUCCAUGGAAAUCAUGUCUUCGGGUUAGCUUUCACAUACCUCGACUAAAUUCGGAAUACUUUGACACCUACAAAGAUAUAAGUUAACUAUAUCCACCAAGGUUCGGACAAAUGGGAAGAAUCACCUGGUGUUUUUUCGUCUUUAUUGGAACUUGAACAUAAAACUUCGAAUUCUCGACCCCUUCACUAGGCCACUGUACUCAUCUUACAGGUCUUUUUACAGCAAAAAGAUGAAAUUUUUCCACAAUCCAUUGCUAAUGGUCUUUGUUUAUUGAGAAAAAGAAAGAAAGUAACAUCCCUACUCUGCUGCUGCAGUCUUUUUUAAUUGAAUACUCUUUCAGUCAUUUAAUCAAACACCUUCCAUGCUAAUCACGAGUUGCUUUAAUUUUCACAUAACAAUAUGCCUUUUUUUGUUAGUGGAUUUGUGGUACUGAAUCUUUUCCUCACUUUUUCAUUUUUCCCCACUUCUGGGCCCUUACAGCAUAGCAUAGCAUAGCUUAUCUUAUACAAAAAAAGUUAAAAGAUCAAUCAUUUUCUUGUCACUUUCCUUCUUAAAAAAUUCUACUUUAUAAAGCUGAAACCUCCAAUAAUGCUUCACAGAGUCCUUGACACAUUUCUAUCUCAUAUACCUUAGGUAUAAUAUACUUCAUUGAAUCCACUACUUUCAAAGUGGAGCAUAAAUUCAUUGAAAUUGGAUCUUUAUUUAAAUUAUAUACCUUAAAUAUAGGCUUUUAAAACUAAUUAAAAUUUUACUUAAAAGUAAAUAUUUAGAAAAAAUAUUAAUUGGAAGCUUGGCACGUUAGUACAUAAGAAGUACUACUCUAAACAUUAGAUGAACUUUUUGAAUUAAUUUUGUAUGAAAAUUGCUAAGUAACAUCCAAUUGUAUUUUUAAUUGACAAAUUAUUUUUAAAAAAAAAAUUAAAUUUUAAAAAUUCUAUGUUUUAUAAUAUUUAAAAUUAAUAAAUUCUAAAUAUAUGGGAAGAGAUAAAAUAUAUGUAGAGUUCUAUGGUCUUGUUUUAUUAAAUUUUCUUUCAGUCAUUUCAUCAAACACCUUCCAUGCAAAUCAUGAGUUGCUUUAAUUUUCACAUAUAAUAUGCCUUUUUUGUUGGUGGAUUUGUGGUAGUGAACUGAUUCCCUGUAAAGGGUAUUGUGUCAAGUACUAUAUGAAGUUUCAGCUUUAUUAAAGUAGAAUUUUCAAGUAAGACGUAAUCAUGAAAUAUCUAACCUUUAUCUCGUGGACCAAAAGAAUCCGCUUUUGCAAUGUACAGGUAAUCAGCCCAAUACCACAAAGCCACUACAAAAGUAGCAUAGUCAAGUGAUUUGUGAUGAAAUGACAAAAAGAGAAUUCAAUUAAAAAAAGAUUCUAAUAUCGACCUGACACAUAAAUUUACGAAGGCGUUAUCCGAAACGGCCCUCUAAUAUAUGAGGUAAGAUGUAAUGUCUGCAUAUACCUACCCUCUUGCGAAAUUACUCUAAAUAUGUUAUUGUUGUUGAUAAUCAUGAUAUAUGAACCAGCUUAUUCGAACCUCGACUAAUUUCACUGAAUAACUUCCACCUCCAACCUGCAAUAGGUACUAAAUAACCCUAUCCACCAAAGCUAAGACAUAAUAUCAGGUUCAUCUGAACUCAAUAUUUUCGAUCGACGAAGCAUAAAUCUAUGUGCCCCCCCAAACUAAGCCAAAGUUGUUAAAACACACCUCCAACAUCACAGCGGUCCUAUUACCCUCGAAACUCAAAUUUAGCAUACUUUUGUUACUCUGUUGUGCUGAUGUAACAUCUUUAUUACAUAAAAAUAGACCCUACAUCAGAGAUGUCUCUUCAGCUAAAAAGGAUGAUAAAAGAGGCCACAUCAGCUAAAAAUGAUGACAAAAACACUCUAAAACUUAAUUCUGAGAGGUAAUAGAUUAUAGUUCAGGAGGGUGCUGGGUGCUUUAUUCUUAUCACUGUAGAAGUAAGAAACCUUAAUGAUUGAACUCAUAAAAUUGAGCAACAAGAUUCUAACUCAAAAAGCCAACACAACCAUGAAUUUUACAUAAACCUGUCAAGCCCCUUAAAUAUCAAGCACAGAGGCAUAUCUAGGAUUUGAAUUUUACGACUUCCGAAUUUACAAUAACUGGAUUCUAAAUUGAAAAUAUGUACAUAUUCAAUGACUCUCAUCACACAAAUAUACACGAUUUAGGACAAAUAUACGACUUGGUUCAUCUGAACAAGUAAGUCAACUCCUAGUUCCGCCCCCGGUCAAGCACACUGUUAAAGCAAAUAUGAUACUUCUUUACUUCUCUCUUAGAUAAGACAUAAUUUUGUAACCUUCUUCAUCGAGAUGGCGAAGUUGGUCACAAGCAGCCAAUAGGAGCAAAUCGUUUCCCACAUUUGAAUCUGCUACAUGGAGAACUUAAUCACCCUCUAGCUUGAUCAAAGUGGAGUUUAGUUUCUUUAAUUCCUCCACGAUUGUAGACAUGGUGUCUCUGGAUGACGGCGGUGAAUUUAUGCAUUUCAUUGCUAAUGUUAGAAUCACCGCUGCGUCGUGCCCGUCGUAAUUCAGAUUUUGAUCGAUGAGUUCCAUUAAAAUGCCUUUCUCAUUCAUUAUUUGUGCCUAUAGUAGUCGAUAAA
rnacentral:lncRNA from 1 species